CCAGAAGAAAGAAGACAAUCGCUCUCAAGUCGAUAGCUCAAGAAGAAGAAGAUUUAGAAAAAUCAAAAAAUAGUGAAGAAGAUGAGGACUUAGCCCUAAUCACCAGAAAAUUCAGACAUUUCAUAAGGAGAAGGAGAUAAGGGACCUAGAGAAGACCACCAGCUAAGAGAGAGCCAAGUAAAGAAAAAAAAGAGCAGCCCGUCAUCUGUUAUGAAUGCAAGAAGCCGGACCAC
rnacentral:lncRNA from 1 species